UCCAUCUUCUUAAGUGUAAGGUUAGCUGUGAUUAACUUCAGACCUGAGUCGCACAUGGUGCUAUGGGUUUUCUGAGCAAGACAGUGUGGCGUUCCUACAAUCUAAGUAUGUGGAAGAAAGUCAGAGUCUUUAGGUCCUUGGUCCUUCUGGUCUUACUAUAAACUUGCGAGGCCUGUAUGUUGACUGACGGCCAGAGACAUCCUUUGUGACAACUUCUCUUCUGCAUAUUUUUGUGGCCAUGUCUUCCAAGACUGUGUGUCUAGUGCUGAUGUGCUCAGGAGAGCGGCGUUGGGAAAGGUCAGCUGCCUGAUAUGAGAAUGGCAGCUGUGCUUACCCAGGCCUGAUCCAGCUCAGCGCAUACUAGGUGCCCAGGAUCUGGUAAACAGGUCCAGACUCCAGGGUCAACUGUUUGCAUCAUGGAAGGGGCAGCUAGGAGGACACCUGGAGAUAUGGGCUGUGUCCCUGGUGCAGGUCUGAUUGAUGGCCAUCAGGAGGCUAGAGCAGUAAAGGACCAAGGUUGAUGUGGCAAAGUGCCAAACCGGCAUAUGCUCCAUACCUGACCUAACCACAACCCUCUAUGUAGCUACAUGGCUCACUUUCUUAAUCUCAUCUCCUUGGCACUGAUGAUGCUUUUCUCUGUGCCUCACCCAGUAAUGUCACUUGAAAAGAGCAACUCAGAGCUCCACAAAAAUACUAGAAUUUCCUUUUUGAUUUGGAGUCUCGGAACAUCUACACCCAGAAGUAUCCAGGCAUAUCAUGUUUGAAUAAUUUUUUUUUAUUUCAAAAAUAUAUAGAGACAGUGUAGAUGGUGUAAGUGACUCUUAUGAGGGUCAUUUAUUGUAAGAUCACUUUCUGUAACGUUUAUUUAUAUUGUCGCAGACUUUACAAUUUCAUGCUUUUAUUUUGAAGUACUUUCAGUUUAGUCCAUAGUACGCACAUAAUAGACGGCAAAUUGAUGGAUACAGAGAAACGAGGCACGCAAGGUGUUUUCUCACGUUUUCUCCUGUUUCAUUCAUUUAAGCUCCUGGCUGGAGUGCUGUUUGCAAAACUACUGUUAUGUCAGAGGUGCUUUUGAAAUUGACUCCUCUCUAAAAAGUUUCUGUUUAGCGAGUUUCUCAUGAUUUGCCAUCACGUGCAUGCUAAGGGUUGCACUCAUGUUAGCAUUUUGUGGUUAUGGUUGUGAAUAUUAAUGUAGCUGAAGGUUUUUUGUUUAAUUUUUGUAUAUUUUUUGUGUUUUAUUAAAAGAGCUGUAUUUUAUUUGCUUUUUAGCUCUUACAGUGUCACUGACGAGUCAUACAGAAAGGAACUAUGUUCAAAUACCAUGCUAAGGCUGAACAUAAUUAAGAGGCGUCAGAAAACAUCAGUAUGCUACAUCAUUGUCUGGCCAGGGUUUACCUACAAAUGGGUCUGUAAAAACCUAGAAAAUAACAACAAUAGAAAUAAAGGUGGUGCAGGGUUGGGGGAGAUUGCAGGAAGUGGCCCAUAGCUCCCAGUUUAACACCCCUGCCAUACACCCAUGUAGCCAUAUGAAAACCUAGGCUGUGUUCUAAAAGCACCAACAAACUGAAACAUAAAAAGCCAUAAAAUCACCUGUUUGGUUUGGGUUUGUGCAAACAGUGUAUGUUAAAUGCCAUAUCUUGAAAGUUUACUGUUAGAAAAUUCUGUAGAAAGUCUUCAAAUCCUGUAAGAUCAUCACUCUGACAUGCACAGUCUUUAAAGAUGAUACACACUUCUGAUAUGGAGUUAUACCAAGACAUCACACUUAAUUUGGAGUACACAUUUCAAGUUGUGCUUCUGACACAUUCAUCAGUUCUACAAAUGAAUAUUUGAUCAAGCUGAAUGAAUGUGACGCACGUUCAAAGUUCAUCAAUCAAUACUAAACACUCACUGAGAUCUUGACUGAUAAGCAAGACUGAUGUACUAAAGUUACAAUAAGAGUUUCACUCUUUUAUGUAAGUGCAACAGAAGCUUUUCUUCCCCUCUUACAUCCUUUGCAUGUUUAAAGCUUUAUUGUCUAACUCAACAUAUACUUGGCCUCAUAAGGAGACAUUGAUGAUGUGCAUACCCCCUGAAAAAAGAAAUUAUGGAUCAUUAAAAUAAGAAAGAAUUGAUCCCAAUGCCAGGUUCUUUUAUGUUAAAUUAUCUUAAAAUGUUGGACUCACGGUUGAAAAAUUGUGUCAGUAAGAUGUUACAUCAGUCAUCGUCUGUAAAACACCUGGUUAUCACUGUAUAACACCCUGGCAUUUAGGAAAUGAGCAGCAACAACCGUAGGAGGAACAGAAGGAAGUGUGGAUGAAAGUGCUGCUUUUUGCAUCUCAAUUUAUCAACCUUCAUGACUUGUAAAUAAACACGCACGAUAAAUGCACCCCACGUCUCAGGCCGUCACACACUCACAUCUUUAAAUACCCCAGCUCUGACGACUGAGAUUGCACUGCUCAUCAAAUUUCUGCGUGAGCGAGCCCAGGCUAAAUUUGCAGCCAGGGAGCCAACUUACGCAAUCCUCCCUGGUCUCCCUUACUGUCUAUACACCGGCUCAAAAAAAAUCUCACAGUUCUCAAAGCAUCCCGGCCCUCCCACACUACAUACUACAACUCCGCCACUAUUCCCGUCCCUGCCCCCGCCGCUGUGGCACGAAAAUACCGGCACCUCCAAGAACAGACGCCAGGCCUGUCAGAGCAUCAUCUCAUCCCACAGGACAGAUGGGGGGACGAGAGGGGGGGGGAUGAAGAGCAGGUGGAAGGAUGAGAGCAGCCGCUGUGGAGAGAAACGAAUCAACAGAGACAGAAAAGAUAAAAUAAAUAGUCUUUGUGAGGGAGGAGACAGUUUACAGUGAGAUCCUCUCGAUCAGACUCCUGACGUGAGGGAGCUCCUCUGUGGAAGAGCAUGUUGUUAUGCCACUAUUUUAAAGACCAUAAACAGUCAUGACACCCUUUAAACCGGUCUACCUCACACCCAUAAAACUACAUAGUAUUAAAACUCAGUGGCUUUGACAUAAUACUCUAUUUAAAAUACAGCUAUCAGUAAUUUAAGUAGUUACUUCCUAUUAAUCAAAUUGUUUAUAACACUGUAAUAUGGCUGAGAUCAUUCUAGUGUAAGCAGUUAAGGAUUUGCAUAUUAACAUUCUUCAUAAAAGCAACUGCAUGAAUAAAUAUUUGAAUGUUUCAUGUCCUGAUAUAUGCUUAUUUAUUAUAUUUAUUGUAAUGCUAAAUGCAUGAGAAAAAAAUGUAUCCAUGCUUUUAAUGGUGCUUCUACUUAUUUUAAUACAGUGAUCAGGGCUGAGCUGACCAACAGGAAGGCAUGGAGGCAGCUUAUGACAGGAACAAGGAGAAGUACACUGAGCUGUCUGUGGCUUGUACAGAAGCAGAGUGAAAGGCAUCCACCUACUGGCUGCGGAGGGUUUAUAGGAAAAUCUACUCAACAACUUCUAAGAACACUUGAAAUCACUGGACUCAAACAGAGGAAGGCACUGGAGAACCUUACUGAGGAGGCGGAGUAAGGGAGUUUCUGUCUUUGGCUUAAAAGGAAAAACACAGGAAUGGAUCUUGGAGAGGAAUAGGUUACGCCCCUGAGCUGUAUCACCACUUUGAGGUGAUCUUAGACUAAAAGAAUUAAGCAUCUGUAAAGGAUGGCUUCCAGUGGAUAAUCCUGCUGCUUGCCUGGUGGCCCAGGCAAAGGGCAGCAAAGCCUUACAGAAGCACCAACAGACUGGGGAUAAGCUGUUUUUUUUACAUGGAGUCCCUCUUAGAUCAGCGUCUUCACAACACAAGGAACUGAAGCAGCCACUGUGGAGGGACAGCAGAGCAGACAAACAGAUUGGGAGCUGAGAAGAAGAAGAGAGGAAAUGACUACAGUGUUUUUUUAAAAGCUCAACAUUCAGUAACUUUGUUCAUUUCAAAAACAGAGAUUCCAAAUAUACUUUAAACUUGUGUUUAAAAUGGCACACCUAGAGAAUGUAAAAGCCCACUGUGUAGUAUCAUUAGCCACAUAUGUCAUGACAGAUUUGUUGGCAUAACAAAAUUUUAUUCUCCAGUACAACAAUGUAAAAUACAUAUUGCAGUCCUCUUAUUAAAAUCCUACUUCAGUAAAAGGACUAUACGAUGAAAUGUGAUAUGAUUCAACACUUUACUUGUCCAAAAAUCCUAAAUGAUAGAAACAAACAAGCCACCUGUAAUAUGGGAGCGCAUACCAAUGUAAAACAAUAUAUGAUGCACAUUAUCCACAUUGCACAGGACUCACAAAAAUCAUCAACAACACAAAUAAGACUGCAUAACACAUUAUCAAUAUCAUUACUCUGGAAUAUCAAAAAUAAGCACUCUACUGGCAAGAAAUGUCAAUCGUAUUAGAUUAUUAGUACAGGUAAACUAGUGCAUCAGCUACAAGGGAAUCACUAAGAACAUACAUAUAAUGUGGUAAUCUAAUAAUGACGGGAUUGAGAACAUCAAGGCUGGGACCUUCAAAGAGUCAAAAGGUAAUUAUUUUGAAUAUUUGAGGGAGGAAAGAGAAAGUGGUUAAUUUGUGUUUUUAAAAUUUUUGUUCAAGUUUCCUCUAAAUGUCCUACUGCCUUCAUCUUUUAUUAUGUUCUGUUAUGAUCAAGAUCAUCUUAUGCUGUUUUUAAAUUAUUUUGAUCAAAAGAAAAUCUAAACUAAAAUAGUCACUUAACCUGUCUGAUGAAUUUAGUGAAGCAUAAUGUACAAUGUAUUCUAGAAAUGCAAAAGAGCAGAAAUAUAGAAUAUUUUUAAUCUUGUACAACAUUUUAAAGGUUUAUCAUUAUGUUGGCUCUUAGAAAUGAAGGUAGACCUAGGACAAAGAACUUUCUGUGGAAAUUGAGAAAAAUGUCAAGGGAGAUAUUUUAAACAAUCUGGGAAAAAAGGUAACCAAACCAAAGAAAUACAACUCAGACUACUUCACAGGGUUGAUUUAUCACCUGAUCCUCUCUCCACGUUUAAUCCCAUGCACUUCUCUUUGUUCCUUUAAUGUAAAUGAACCACAGUAACCUUACUUAUUGUCUCUGGUCUUUCCCCCAGUUACAGAGGUAUUGGGAAACUGUCCUGUUUGAAAAUACUUGGAUGUGAACUUAACUUGAUUCGGUCUCACUUCUUACCACACUUCCUACUUGGUCACUAAUAAACACACCACUAAUGUGCAUCAUAGACACUUUUUUAAUGUGCAGAGCUCCUUCACUGUCUGUUACAAGAUAUUUAAUAAUGAAACGUAUUCCACCAGAACUCGCAAAUCACCUCAAACAUGCUGAAACAGCUGAUUUCUUCAAAAUGUGGAGACCACUUCUUGAAUUUAUACAUGUACAUGUGUCUCCCAUUCUUUUCAGUAGGAAUGCACCAGUACCAUAUUUUCCAGACCAAGCAUGAGAACUGAUACUUACAUUUGGAUACUCAUCAAUACCGAGAACAAGUAUGAGUACUUAAUCAUACCUCAACUGUUCUCUGUUUUCAUCAGGUGUUCUUCAUCCCUCUUCCUGAUAAUUUAUCAGUGCAUAGUUUUCAUUCUACUCUACUUUUUCCAUCGUCAUUCAUGCUAAAAGAUCAACAAACAACUGGCUCUAACAUUGACUACAUUCUCUCAUACCCAGUACAGUAUCUGCUAUGUUUUAUGAGUAUGAGUAAGAGUACUUAGACUUUGUAUUGGCACAGAUACCUUAUACUGGUUUUAGCAUCUAUGCAUCCCUACUUUCUAGGGUUUUAAAAUGCCAGGACCCAGCUGUGCUAAUAGUUACAUUGUGCUAAAUGUAUAUAUUCUUAUUUGUUAAGUGCAAGACCAAAUAAACACUUUUUAAAGUACUAUGACUGCCUAAUAGUCAAAUAAUUACUUCAAAAUGCUCUUAAAGCAGGUGUUGGUUUAGCACAGUAGGUAGGCACCCAUAUUCAGAGGCUAUAGUCCUCAGUGAACUGGUUGGAGGGUCCCUGGUCUCUGCGCUGUUUGGUGCAUGUCUUCCCUCAUCCCCC